AAAGCUCUUGCAUUUAGAUGAGCCUGCGUCGGAUUAGUUUGUUGGUGGGGUAAUGGCUUACCAAGGCGACGAUCCGUAGCUGGUUUGAGAGAAUGAUCAGCCACACUGGGACUGAGACACGGCCCAGACUCCUACGGGAGGCAGCAGUGGGGAAUAUUGCACAAUGGACGAAAGUCUGAUGCAGCAAUGCCGCGUGUGUGAAGAAGGCCUUCGGGUUGUAAAGCACUUUCAGAUGUGAGGAAAAGCAGUCUAUUAAUACUAGAUUGCCGUGACGUUAACAUCAGAAGAAGGACCGGCUAACUCCGUGCCAGCAGCCGCGGUAAUACGGAGGGUCCAAGCGUUAAUCGGAAUUACUGGGCGUAAAGCGCGCGUAGGCGGAUAUUUAAGUCAGAUGUGAAAUCCCUGGGCUCAACCUAGGAACUGCAUUUGAAACUGGAUAUCUAGAGUAUGGUAGAGGUGAGUGGAAUUUCAGGUGUAGCGGUGAAAUGCGUAGAGAUCUGAAGGAACAUCAGUGGCGAAGGCGACUCACUGGGCCAUUACUGACGCUGAGGUGCGAAAGCGUGGGUAGCAAACAGGAUUAGAUACCCUGGUAGUCCACGCCCUAAACGAUGUCAACUAGGUGUGUGAGAGUCUAACUCUUGCGUAUCGAAGCUAACGCGAUAAGUUGACCGCCUGGGGAGUACGGUCGCAAGACUAAAACUCAAAUGAAUUGACGGGGGCCCGCACAAGCGGUGGAGCAUGUGGUUUAAUUCGAUGCAACGCGAAGAACCUUACCUGGCCUUGACAUGUAGUGAACUUACCAGAGAUGGUUUGGUGCCUUCGGGAACACUAACACAGGUGCUGCAUGGCUGUCGUCAGCUCGUG
rnacentral:rRNA from 1 species